AUGCUGGUGGCGCACGGGUCGGGUCAAGGCUGGUGGCGCACGGGGUGGGUCUGGACCGAAGGCCGGGGCCUGCGGGGGAGAGUGGUAGGGGUUGGUGCAGCGGCAAAUACGGGAUGGAUGGGCCGUGAUGGGAGGCUCGCCAGCCGAAGCAGCAGGAGCAAGAAGGCGGGGUCGGAAGUGGAGGGAGGCUCGCUGGCCGGUGCAGCAGGAGCAACUGCAGCUGCUGUUGGUCGGCCUGACGCACUGCCGCAAGUCCUCAACCAUACCACCGCUGUUGUGGCCCGCACGCUCGACAGGAGCAGCUGCGCCGUCACUGGCGGCGAGUUCAACGGCCGCCGCCUCCUUUUCUCUUCAAAUCCAGUAAGCCCUCCCCUGGGUGCAUCAGGGGCUGUGGUUCCCUCAAGUACGGUGAAGCACCAGAUUUCUUCUAAAGUAUGCUGA
rnacentral:rRNA from 1 species